rnacentral:rRNA from 1 species
GACGUAGGGCGCGAGCGUUGUCCGGAUUUAUUGGGCGUAAAGAGCUCGUAGGCGGCUUGUUGCGUCGACUGUGAAAACCCGCGGCUUAACUGCGGGCUUGCAGUUGAUACGGGCAGGCUAGAGUUCGGUAGGGGAGACUGGAAUUCCUGGUGGUAGCGGUGAAAUGCGCAGAUAUCAGGAGGAACACCGGUGGCGAAGGCGGGUCUCUGGGCCGAUACUGACGCUGAGGAGCGAAAGCGUGGGGAGCGAACAGG